rnacentral:rRNA from 1 species
AUACAUAGGUUAACGAGGCGAACCGGGGGAACUGAAACAUCUAAGUACCCCGAGGAAAAGAAAUCAACCGAGAUUCCCCCAGUAGCGGCGAGCGAACGGGGAGCAGCCCGGAGUCUGAAUCAGCUUGUGUGUUAGUGGAACGGUCUGGAAAGUCCGACGGUACAGGGUGAUAGUCCCGUACACGAAAGCACACAUGCUGUGAACUCGAAGAGUAGGGCGGGACACGUGGUAUCCUGUCUGAAUAUGGGGGGACCAUCCUCCAAGGCUAAAUACUCCUGACUGACCGAUAGUGAACCAGUACCGUGAGGGAAAGGCGAAAAGAACCCCGGCGAGGGGAGUGAAAAAGAACCUGAAACCGU